UCAGAUACCUGGCCAAUGAGAUGAAGUUGUACCACUUCCAUCAGUCCAGACAUUUGUCAAAGAAGUGCAGUUUAUAAAUGACCAAGUGGAUGAAGCAGCCACACUCUCACCGGUCCAGAUAUUCCUCAAAGAAGAGGAAGGUGCGUAUUGUAAGGCAGAAGAGCCUGUGCUGGUCUCACUUGUCCCAGUGCUUCUCAAAGAAGAACAUGUGCUUGAUGAAUCGCCGGAGGACUUUGAAGUUGGCAGUCACCAAUUGCUAAUAAAUCUGGGCUAAGACUGGAGGGAAUUGGCUAAGUAGUGAUGCUAUCCCGACACUUUUUGAUUUUCCGGAGCAUAUGAAAUCGAAGAGGCCUAAGCACCGUAAAUCACACACUAGAAGGCGUUCGUUAGAUGAUGCCUGGUCUUCUGAAAUCUGUGCUUCCAAUGCCUUGACAAUAUGCAAUAUGGAAACGAACACCCCCC